rnacentral:tRNA from 1 species
ACUUAAGUAGCUUAAAUAGAGCAUAGCAGUGAAGAUGCUAGAGUGAUUGUGUAUCCUUGAGUA